UUUUGUUGGAGAGUUUGAUCCUGGCUCAGGACGAACGCU
rnacentral:rRNA from 2 species